UGCAGAAAGGUGGUCAGAUGCAUCCUUGGC
rnacentral:piRNA from 1 species